CAUCACACAUGGGCAUAUAGGUGCCUUCACAAACCACAAAUGAGUUGAAAAGGGAUAUUUAAAUAUUUAAGGAACAAAAAGGAGGAAAAAGGAGAAGUCCAAAAAAGAGAGGAAUUGGGUUCAAUUUUGCCAAUGUCAGAGAAGGAGAAUGUAAUUUGCCCUAUAGUUUAAGGACCCAAAGUGAUAUAGUUCAAAAUUGAUUCAAUGGAUGAAACUAAAGUUCCACUGCUUAAUACUCAUUCCACCACUCAGUAUUGACUAUUGAUGUUAUUGCAACAACCAAUAGGCAAAAAUAUUUCACUGUCUAAAAUGUAAUUUCCAGCAAAUCUUGGAGCCAUUGGAAGAACUAUGUACAGUCA